CUUCCCCCUUCGGGGGCAAAGUGACAGGUGGGGCAUGGUUGUUGUCAGCUCGUGUCGUGAGAUGUUGGUUAAGUCCCGCAACGAGCGCAACCCUUAUUGUUAGUUGCCAUCAUUCAGUUGGGCACUCUAGCAAGACUGCCGGUGACAAACCGGAGGAAGGUGGGGAUGACGUCAAAUCAUCAUGCCCCUUAUGACCUGGGCUACACACGUGCUACAAUGGGAAGUACAACGAGUUGCGAAGUCGCGAGGCUAAGCUAAUCUCUUAAAGCUUCUCUCAGUUCGGAUUGCAGGCUGCAACUCGCCUGCAUGAAGCCGGAAUCGCUAGUAAUCGCGGAUCAGCACGCCGCGGUGAAUACGUUCCCGGGCCUUGUACACACCGCCCGUCACACCACGAGAGUUUGUAACACCCGAAGUCGGUGAGGUAACCUUUUGGAGCCAGCCGC
rnacentral:rRNA from 1 species